rnacentral:rRNA from 1 species
CCUACGCGGGGCAGCAGUGGGGAAUAUUGGACAAUGGGGGGAACCCUGAUCCAGCCAUGCCGCGUGUGUGAAGAAGGCCCUCGGGUUGUAAAGCACUUUCAGUGAGGAAGAACGCCUGGUGGUUAAUACCCAUCAGGAAAGACAUCACUCACAGAAGAAGCACCGGCUAACUCCGUGCCAGCAGCCGCGGUAAUACGGAGGGUGCGAGCGUUAAUCGGAAUUACUGGGCGUAAAGCGCGCGUAGGUGGCUUGAUAAGCCGGUUGUGAAAGCCCCGGGCUCAACCUGGGAACGGCAUCCGGAACUGUCAAGCUAGAGUGCAGGAGAGGAAGGUAGAAUUCCCGGUGUAGCGGUGAAAUGCGUAGAGAUCGGGAGGAAUACCAGUGGCGAAGGCGGCCUUCUGGACUGACACUGACACUGAGGUGCGAAAGCGUGGGUAGCAAACAGGAUUAGAUACCCCUGUAGUC